GUGCUUGUGUUGGUAGCACAUAUACUAAAAUUAGAAGGAUACAGAGAAGAUUAGCAUGACAGCAAGGACAAACAUGCAAAUACAUGAAGUAUUCCAUAUUUUU